AGGGAGACAGGGGGAGGGAGAGAGAGCAGGAGAGGUGAAUAUGAAUGACGUGAAUAAAGUACAAAGUGGGGGGAAUAUAUCUGUGGUUACGAUGAGGUAAUGCAGAGAGGGGAAAAUGCUGCAAUGCAGAUCUACCCAUUUCUCCAUCUCUCUCUCUCUCAAAUCAAAUGUUAUUUGUCACAUGUAACGAAUACAACAGGUGUAGGUAGACCUUACAGUGAAAUGCUUACUUACAAGCCCUUAACUAACAAUGCAGUUUUAAGAAAAAUACCCCAAAAUGUUAAUAAAAGUAACAAAAAUUAAAGAGCAAGGUUAUAUACAGGGGGUACCGGUUACAGAGUCAAUGAGGAGGUUAUAUACAGGGGGUACCGGUACAGAGUCAAUGUGGAGGCUAUAUACAGGGGGUACCGGUUACAGAGUCAAUGUGGAGGUUAUAUACAGGGGGUACCGGUUACAGAGUCAAUGUGGAGGUUAUAUACAGGGGGUACCGGUUACAGAGUCAAUGUGGAGGUUAUAUACAGGGGGUACCGGUACAGAGUCAAUGUGGAGGUUAUAUACAGGGGGUACCGGUUACAGAGUCAAUGUGGAGGCUAUAUACAGGGGGUACCGGUUACAGAGUCAAUGUGGAGGUUAUAUACAGGGGGUACCGGUUACAGAGUCAAUGUGGAGGUUAUAUACAGGGGGUACCGGUACAGAGUCAAUGUGGAGGUUAUAUACAGGGGGUACCGGUUACAGAGUCAAUGUGGAGGUUAUAUACAGGGGGUACCGGUUACAGAGUCAAUGUGGAGGUUAUAUACAGGGGGUACCGGUUACAGAGUCAAUGUGGAGGUUAUAUACAGGGGGUACCGGUUACAGAGUCAAUGUGGAGGUUAUAUACAGGGGGUACCGGUUACAGAGUCAAUGUGGAGGUUAUAUACAGGGGGUACCGGUACAGAGUCAAUGUGGAGGUUAUAUACAGGGGGUACCGGUUACAGAGUCAAUGUGGAGGUUAUAUACAGGGGGUACCGGUACAGAGUCAAUGUGGAGGUUAUAUACAGGGGGUACCGGUUACAGAGUCAAUGUGGAGGCUAUAUACAGGGG